rnacentral:rRNA from 1 species
AGAGUUUGAUCCUGGCUCAGAUUGAACGCUGGCGGCGUGCCUAACACAUGCAAGUCGAGCGGUAACAGGUGUAGCAAUACAUGCUGACGAGCGGCGAACGGGUGAGUAAUGCUUCGGAAUCUACCCUCUAGUGGGGAAUAACCAGCCGAAAGGUUGGCUAAUACCGCAUACGUCCUACGGGAGAAAGCAGGGGAUCGUAAGACCUUGCGCUGAUGGAUGAGCCGAAGUCGGAUUAGCUAGUUGGUGAGGUAACGGCUCACCAAGGCGACGAUCCGUAGCUGGUCUGAGAGGACGACCAGCCACACUGGAACUGAGACACGGUCCAGACUCCUACGGGAGGCAGCAGUGGGGAAUAUUGGACAAUGGGGGAAACCCUGAUCCAGCGACGCCGCGUGUGUGAAGAAGGCCUGCGGGUUGUAAAGCACUUUUAGUGGGGAUGAAAUGUGCAGGGUUAAUACCUCUGCAUUUUGACCUAACCCACAGAAAAAGCACCGGCUAACUCUGUGCCAGCAGCCGCGGUAAUACAGAGGGUGCAAGCGUUAAUCGGAAUUACUGGGCGUAAAGCGUGCGCAGACGGUUAUAUAAGUCGGGUGUGAAAGCCCCGGGCUCAACCUGGGAAUUGCAUUCGAGACUGUGUAGCUAGGGUACGGAAGAGGGAAGCGGAAUUUCAGGUGUAGCGGUGAAAUGCGUAGAUAUCUGAAGGAACACCAGUGGCGAAAGCGGCUUCCUGGUCCAGUACCGACGUUCAGGCACGAAAGCGUGGGGAGCAAACAGGAUUAGAUACCCUAGUAGUCC